rnacentral:lncRNA from 1 species
UCAGUCGCAUGUUAACUUAUUUCCAAGACUCUGAUGUUUCUAACCUUUUAAAGAUUUCAGAGAAUUAAUGGGACACAUGAGAUUUUCACAGUCCUGGCCCUGCAGUCAUCCAAUUGGAGAAUGAGCCAAUCCUCUUUCGCAAGGGCAGUUAUCCCAGACAAGUUCAUGUUCCAAGAAGCCAGAUCAGUGUUUCCGGAGACCGUGGCAGAUACUUGGUGGCAUUGGGGUGUUGCAUUGGACUGAAGCCUCUUCAGAACACUGAGGAUAUACCAAUUCAUUUUAGAAGCCUCCAAGGUAUGUGCACAGGGUUCCUGGUCAUUUCAUCUUGGACUGGACAGGCAGGAUUCACCAUCUGUCAGCUGCCAGG